AGAGAGACAAAAGUCCCUCCCCAUUCUCAUGGCAUGAAGCUGCCACACUCUAUUUGUCCACCAUCCGUGGGUGCUCUGCUAUUAUGCACAGUCGACCGUGAGUCGCAACUCAAGUUUGCUACCAUUGUGGGUUUGCCGUUGACCAUCUAUCUAAUCAGUGUCGUUUGUUGCUUGAUUCGUCGUUGUCUUCUAUUGGAGUCACCGUCAUUCGUUGCUGGAGCGCGUCUCCAAUUGACGUUGUCACGAGCUGAGUCCAUCGCCUUUGAACACGAUUUCCUCCUUCUAGUGCCGGAUUUACUCUAGUUCUCACUGGAUUUGUUUGGGUCACUGCUCCAACCCGCGAAUCGUGCCAAAUCUACUUUUGUUCAAAGCCGCGACACUGAUUGCAUCGUUCUGGGAAGUGUUGUCGCGUGUAUGUUUAUAACUUCUUUUAUUAUUGGUUGGACUGAGUUGACUAUAUUUACCUUUUCUCCAUUAAGUUUCCUAUGCUCAAUGAUCUUCCCUUGUUAUUUUCACCCUGUUCUAUGAUGAUGUUAGGCAGAUCUAAUAGAUCUGAUGGUAAUGAGAUUUAUGCAGCUAGAGAAGAAGUAGUUAUUUGGCCAUGUGGGCUUUGUUGAGAAUCAGACAUGAUGCUAAAGAAAAUCGACAGGAUGGAAAUUUUAUGGUUGGAUGUUUAGGAUUCCCACAGGGAAAUUUCAAAGAGAAACAAUCCCAUGGCUCAUGGCAUUCAUAGAAUAUGAUUGGGUACUUUUCAACUAAGUAAGAAUGGUGUUAGAUGCACUUGUUUGUACCAUGUAAGCAUGGGAAUAUUGAAAAUGUUUUUAAAUUCUUAGGUUGUAAUUUACAUUAUAAUCAUGUAUAUUGCAGG